GGGCUGGCUUUAGCUCAGCGGUUCCUUCGCAUAUAAAAUUACUUUGCCGUGUCUUCUGGCACAUUCUGGUCGUUUC
rnacentral:sRNA from 1 species